AAAAGCUCACAACAUGAUGACUCUAAUCUUGGCGGCUCAGAUGGUGGUUCUAAAAGCUCACAACAUGAUGACUCUAAUGAUGGCGGGUCAGAUGGUGGUUCU